rnacentral:rRNA from 1 species
AACGUAGGACGCAAGCGUUAUCCGGAGUUACUGGGCGUAAAGGGCGCGUAGGCGGCCGUUCAAGUCGGGGGUGAAAGCCUGUGGCUCAACCACAGAAUGGCCUUCGAUACUGGACGGCUCGAGACCGGAAGAGGUCAGUGGAACUGCGAGUGUAGAGGUGAAAUUCGUAGAUAUUCGCAAGAACACCAGUGGCGAAGGCGGCUGACUGGUCCGGUUCUGACGCUGAGGCGCGAAAGCGUGGGGAGCAAACAGG